rnacentral:misc_RNA from 1 species
GUAUUGAUUGCGUGUUAUCGCAAAAAUGGGGGUCAUUCUACACUUUUAAAAUAGGGGUUUGUGUGAAAACGCAAGCCCCCCUCCCGGAUCGGUUUGAUCCCAAAGGGUUGCCCACGCGGUGGUGCACAAAAGGGUGAGAUGGAUUUCACGCAAGAGGACGCCCUCCCGGCGUGCACAACCCUUUCGAGUUGGCGACAGCCUUCGAGCGCCUCCCACGUCUUUGUUACGAUAAUGAUCCUUCCGCAGGUUCACCUACGGAAA